AGUAACACGUGAGUAACCUGCCUUACACAAGGGGAUAGCCGUUGGAAACGACGAAUAAUACCCUAUGAAACUAUCACUUCGCAUGAAGCGAUAGUCAAAGUGUUAGCGGUGUAAGAUGGACUUGCGUCUGAUUAGCUAGUUGGUGAGAAAAAGCCCACCAAGGCAACGAUCAGUAGUCGGCUUGAGAGAGUGUACGGCCACAUUGGGACUGAGACACGGCCCAG
rnacentral:rRNA from 1 species